rnacentral:tRNA from 1 species
AAUAAAAUGGCUGAGAUUAAAGCGAUAAACUGUAAAUUUAUUUACGAGAAUAUUCUCUUUUAUUA